rnacentral:rRNA from 1 species
AUACGGAGGAUCCGAGCGUUAUCCGGAUUUAUUGGGUUUAAAGGGUGCGCAGGCGGCCAUUUAAGUCAGCGGUUAAAUCGUGGGGCUCAACCCCAUUCUGCCGUUGAUACUGGGUGGCUUGAUUGCGGUCGAGGUUGGCGGAAUUCGUUGUGUAGCGGUGAAAUGCAUAGAUAUGACGAAGAACACCGAUUGCGUAGGCAGCUGACCAGACCGCAAAUGACGCUCAUGCACGAAAGUGCGGGGAUCGAACAGGAUUAGAUACCCUGGUAGUCCGCACAGUAAACGAUGAAUACUUGUUUUCGGCGAUAUAAUGUCGGAGGCAAAGCGAAAGCGAUAAGUAUUCCACCUGGGGAGUACGCCGGCAACGGUGAAACCCAAAGGA